GAUGAACGCUGGUGGCGUGCCUAAUACAUGCAAGUCGAGCGAACGGACGAUAAGCUUUCUUCUCUGAUGUUAGCGGCGGACGGGUGAGUAACACGUGGAUAACCUACCUCUAUGACUUGGAUAAUUUCGUGAAACCGGAGCUAAUACCGGAUGAUAUUUUGAACCGCAUGGUUCAAAAGUUAAAGACGGUCUUGCUGUCACUUAUAGAUGGAUCCGCGCUGCAUUAGCUAGUUGGUAAGGUAACGGCUUACCAAGGCAACGAUGCAUAGCCGACCUGAGAGGGUGAUCGGCCACACUGGAACUGAGACACGGUCCAGACUCCUACGGGAGGCAGCAGUAGGGAAUAUUCCGCAAUGGGCGAAAGCCUGACGGAGCAACGCCGCGUGAGUGAUGAAGGUCUUCGGAUCGUAAAACUCUGUUAUUAGGGAAGAAAAGAUGUGGAAGUAAAUGUGGACAUCUUGACGGUACCUAAUCAGAAAGCAACGGCUAACUACGUG
rnacentral:rRNA from 1 species